rnacentral:lncRNA from 1 species
ACGGCAACACCCUGAUCUAUACUUCUACUUACUUCUUUGUAGAACGCAAUCAAGUUAGUUUGACAUGACCUGUGCUUCAUAAAACCGUACUGAUUUUUGCGGAUAACCAUGUUCUUCUCAAGUAAUUCUUGAAUAUUAUCCCUUAAUAACCUUUCAAAUAUUUUACCAGCCACAGAAGUUAAGCUCAUAGGUCUAUAAUUUCCAGGCAAGGAUUUUUAACCCUUUUUGGAGGCCUUCCUCCAAUCCUUGGGAACACUUCCUGAAAGAAAAGAAUCUUGAAAGAUUAAAAACAGAGGUUCACCUAUUUCUACACUAAGUUCCUUAAGUACACGUGGAUGGAUACCAUCAGUCGCUGGAGCUUUGUUUAUAUUAACUUUCUUUAGUUGCUGCAGCACCUUUUCUUGAGUUAACCAAUUACAAUUAUUCUGCAAGUUUUUAGUAGCAAUCAUUUGCACAUCUAUUGCCAUGGGUUCUUCCUUAAUAUAUACGGAGGAGUUGUUUUAGGUUAUUUUUUUAGAACAAUGUAUGCUUUCUUUCUUUCUUUCUUAAAGCUUAUAUUCUUUCUUUUGAGUACUAGUUACCAGUAACUAUCGGCUCCCUGUUUCUGAUCCCAAGGUGAGGUGGUUGCACUCUAGUGAGAAGAUGUGAUAGGAAAUUAGGUCCUAAGGCAGAUGAUCAAGGACUCAGUUGUGUUUUCGUGAAACUAUAUUUCAUAUAAAAGCACAAUUUGAGAUAUUAAAGGGUUACUUCAAGGAAUCUUUUCAUUGAUUUAAAGUAGUCAUGGUGCCUGGAGUCAGUAUGUGCAGCAUUUCACUUUGUCAGCUAAGGGGUUAAUGUCUGUAUGUGCAUUGUUUCAAAGUGAAGUUCUGCUCUGGCUAUUAUCAAUUCUGUGCAAAAUUGGCAUCAGGCGCCACAAAGGCAGUACGGCAUCCCCCUGCGUGUCGCGCAUGUAAGUAUAUACAUUUUUUUUUUUUACAUUUGGAUGUGUGACCACCACAGAAGAGCUACUCUAACCAAAACCAGUGUUUUAUGAAAAAACUGUUUUUGGUUGGAGUAACCCUUUCAUAAGUAAAAAGAAAGAGUGUAGGCUUUAUCUGUUUUGCAUUUAUUGCAGUGUUGGUGAAUGCAGACAGGUACUUUGCAGAGAGAUAUAGUAAAACAUACCCGGACUAACCUUAAUUUCAGUUCCAGCUUUUUUACAUUUAUAAGAUUUGAUGCGUGACAUUUAAGUGGAGAAUUAGGUUUAACAAUCAUUGUCACUGCAAUAUAUUGUCAAAAUUUCCUUAUUACAAAAUUACUGCCGACAUGCAAUAGCUGCUGCUAUCAAAUAUAAAAUCAAAAGCACUUGCACAAAUCUGAGACCACAAUUCCUUAGCCACAAAUACUUAUCCGUAAGCCAUGAUUCCCAUGGAUUUAUACACUUUCUGGAACAUUUUGGUCUUCUAGGUGUGAAUAACCUAUGUGUAUGUGCAUGAUGGGCACUGAUUUUGUAAAAAAAUAAAUAAAGAUGAUUUGGGAACUGGGUGGGUCUCACAUUGUGAUGCCUAGCUUCGAAUAGUUGAAUGAAAGCUUUUACCCUCUACCUUCACUGCAUUUUGAUAAUGACCCUGUAUCUGCUUUCUUUUUUGGCCAGUAUUGGUGAUUAUUUGAAAUUUGAGCUACAACCCAGGGCUGUUCUUUUAUUUCUUCUGGGUUAUGGUGCUAGAUUACAAUACACUUUAAUGCUGCUAGAAUUUAGUGCUUUCAAUAUAUAAAUAUAUUCUGAUUUAUUUUAUAUAGUGCAUUUCACUGCCAUUGCAUCUUAUUGAUUUGUGGAUUCAGUGCGACAGACUUUAUUCUUACAAUUGUCCUGGCUUCACUAUCCCCCAUUCAACUUGGUUUAGUGUUCCAUUUAUAUAUUGUUUUUUUUCCGUGAAUUAAGCUAUUCGCACGUUUGUAAGCUACUGGAUGAUCUACAGAGUCUCUCUUAGAAAAUUACGAGAGACCAUGUAUUUUAGGCCUUGAUAACUGAUCUUGUGAUUUAUUGUUUAAAAGACCCCAAGUGUGUGUUUUGUACUUUUUUUUUUUUUUUGAUGAAGCUAUUCACAGUAACGUGUGAUCUUGGGUCGAAGCACUUGAUUUUCAAGCUGUGAUAUUUUUAUGGCUCGGAGCUAGUUUUUCAGAUGAUAAAAUUAUGUUAUAUCUGUUUUCUCCUUGCGCUUUACAGAUGCACAAUUUGUAAGAGCAAUUUUACCAUAAUAGUUUUUGUUUUGCUCAACGGCAAAAAGAAGAAUCUGCCAUUUUAGAACGUAAAAUUAAUGGGGUAUAUUUGGACAGAUUAAUUGAAAUUAUAUGUCCAAUACAGAGCGUACAACCUAUCGGACACAGUUAAAGGGAACCUAUAGUCUUGAAAAUAACAAUCAUUAUAUCGUGGCUAUAUUUUCCCUUCUGUCCACUCUCCUAAAGUUUAAGGGAGAUUACUUACCUUGUUUACGGCGGCGGGACUCCUUUGCCACAGCCCACCACUCCGCUACGCAUCACCAAUGAAAUACUGUUAGCAGCAUUUGAUUCUCAGACUGAGUCAGGAAGACAGCCACUAGAGGUGGAUUACAGCCUGCAGUGUAAACGGUUUAAAAAAAAAAAAAAAGAGGACCACUGCAUGCAGACCACUUCAUCUGAAUGAAGUUGUCUAGGUUACUGUAGUGUUCCUGUAAUUUUCUUAGAUGUACAUCUUGGCACAGGGACAUAAAAUGUUACCUCCUUUAUUCUAAUCCCAUCAUCAUCAUCACGAGAUAUACAUUGUUUCUUGUUAUUGGACAGCCAUUUCCAAUCAAUAGCAGAAUGCUAUUCAGUUACCAGAGAUGUGUGUUUUUUUGUAAUAGAAUCAAACCCUUACGUGAAAAGCACAUUUUCCCUGAAUUAUUUUUAAGUGGAAUAUCCAGUUGUUAAAUAGUGUGUGUGUUUUUUGCGUCUUGUAUCCUCCAGUCAUUUUGUUUUACCUAUUAUCUGAACAAACAUUUGGCCGAGUUAAGAAUUUAAGUGCCUUGCAUUUGGAAAUACUGUGCAAUUCUUUAGGUGUUAGGUCCAUGCUGCCAACAUUUAUUAAAAACGAGUUAUUCAAGGUCAUUAACAGACCUUUGCCUUCACUGUACAAGUUGUUUUUUCUUUUUUUUUAACCUGUGAGAGACACAAACGUGUAUUAAACAUGGCCGCUAGUAGGUUGAUACUGUAUUAACCAGGGGUGCCCAAAAGGUAGAUUCCCAGAUGUUUUAAAACUACAACUUCCACGGUACUUUGUCAUUCUAAAGGCAUGCAAAGCAUCGUGGGAGGUGUAGUUCUACAACAUCUGGAGAUCUACAUUUUGUCCACCCCUGGUCUAAACUAAAGUUAUGAGAAGGAACUAAAUCUCAGACGAAGUAUAGUUUUAAACUGUUUAGUGAAUUAACCCUCAAAGAAUAGCUAGGCACGUGAGAUCCCCAGAUGGAGAAUUCAAGAGUGAAUUUCAAAUUUAAGGUCAAAGUAGCCAAACUGUUUGUCAGUUUGACUACUUUGGCCUUAACUUUGAAAUUCACUUUGAAAUCUCAACUUAGUAAAUAACCCUGUUGUUGCUUUGUCUAAAAAUACAAUUUCUCUAAAGGAGAAACAAAGUAGUUUUGUUUUUUAAAUAAAUGUUGGAAUGUAAUGGGAUAUUACAGGCUGGAGUUAGCCUCAAUACAUUUAAAAUUGCUAUAAUAAUAAUACAUAAAAGCUAUAAUACUGAUUUGACCCUUAAAGUAACACACCAGGCUUGGUUUGACUCAUUUGUAAUGGUUUAAUGGGUUAUAGAAAGCGCAUUUACAAGAAACACGUAAAGACAAUCAAAUAAAAAAUUAUAAGCAAAGAUACUCACAUUUAAAGUUUCUGCAUUUACUGGAAGUCUCCAAGCUUUGCAGCAUCUGCAGUAAGCACUAAUUAAUCCAUGAAGUGACUACUGCUCACUUACCUAUUUAUAGAAUGUCUAGUUUAUCUCAGAAUCCGUGUUUAAUCGCAACUCCAAGUAACCUAAGUUAUAUCAUGUUUAUCUGUAUUUUUGGAUCAAAUAGGUAAACACAGCAGGUUGGAGGGAAGGACAGAAAGGAUUUGUUUGUGAAGCUUUUUAAAUAAGCUAAGUAAUAAUUUAAAUAAAAACCUGCAUUACGCACUGUAAACAUUGCACCUAAUUUGUUUUGGUGUCUGGAGUGUCUCUUUAAUUUUCCUUUAUUGUCUAAAAUUGCAAUGACCAAGAAAUAGUUAAAAAAAAAGUAUUAGUCAGUCCUGGUCUUCCUAUUGUUCUCACUGUAAGCAGCGCACUCUGUAUAUCCUGUAGAACUCUACCCAACAAGACUUUAAGGGAUAUAUGCCCAGCACACUCCAGUAGUUCCAUUUAUGAAAAUACAUGGAUGAAACUACACUGCAAUAAUCUGCAGCUCGACCUCCAGUAUCAACCCAUAGUUUAGCCAGUUUGUUUUUAAUGAGUGAAACUAUCACAUGACAAAGCAGGCAUACUAACAGAAAGCUAAUAGAAUUAGUAAAGGUUUGUUACGGGUAACGACAUCACACUGUGGCCUUAUGGCUGCAAUAUAUUUGAAGCAAAACAAGAAGGGGAGCUAUAACUUGUGCAAGGUGGUUAUGGUGCUUUGAGUAUCCCGUUAGUUAUCAUGCUAUGUUAAUCUUACAAUUGACAGUCAAAUAUGUCUCUUUACGUACUGACUGAACAUGUCUCAUACAAAAUCAGUUUAAAAAAUCCAGCAAAAGAUCACUAUAUUCCAGCCCCCCCACCCCCUUAAUUUAAAUGAAGGCGGGUAUUUUCAAAACAUAAUGGUUUAUGAUUUUAAAUUAGGAAUGUGAAUGUCAAUGAAAGGUCUUCUUUAAUGGUAAAAAAAAAAAAGAAGUGUACUUUGUAAUGGUACGGAUAAAACCGUUCUCGUAAACAGAUAAUGGCAUUAAUCAAAACAAAGUAAGUUAAGAUAUUUUGUUUUGUUUUUGUUUUUAAAGCAAGGCCUCGCUCAACUAACUAAUCCGGCUCAGUUGUUAAAUGUUUAUCGGCAGAUUGGCAGCAUGAUUGUAAUAUUUUGUAACAACCAGCAGAGGUCUCAAUAACACCAACUAUUUAGAAAGAAUUUAUGCUGCUGAUAAGAGCUCUGAUGGUGUUAAACUGUUAGGGAUAUCCACUAAACUGUGAAUUGGAGACAUUUAACAAGGAAAUUGCUUGUUUUGUGGCCAAAAUGGAAAAAUUGGUUGGAGAGUUAGAGAUUUAUUUUCUAAUCUGGCCUAACAUUUAACGUACUCUUGUCAUUUUUCAGCAAUUCUCAGAUUGUUGUGAUUUUGUUUAGUGAUCUACCAAACGGCUGAGCGUAAUGACCAUUUUAGUUCAAGAUAAUCUACAGAUUAUCUAUAGAGCUGUAAUUUUUUUAAACUCAUAGGAAGCUGUAAACAUAAAUGGGCAAGGUGUGAUCUUAAAUGAUUUUGAUAUAAAUUUUGCAGUUCGGUUAGAGAGAGACACUUUUAAUGCUCAGAAUUACUCACUCGGUUACUCUAAAGUGAGGAUUCAAAGUGGAUUUCAAAUUUCAGGCCGGAGUAGCCAAACUGAAAGCAUUGCUGACGUAGAGAUUUUUUGGCAAUUUAUAACUUACAUUUUAAAUUCACUUUGAAUUCUCACUUUGGUUAGUAGCCCUGUCAGUGUUGCAUCUGCCGCUGUUAAUUUACAAUCCAUUUUGUGCUUAUGCGAUAUCCCUGUUUUCCAUAUAGCUCUACAGUAUCAUUUUUUUGUGAAUUACAGAUGCCUAACCAAAGCAGAAUGCUUUUUUUUAAACAAACACCCUCUAAAAAAAAUGCCAAAUUACAUUUUUAAGUAGAAUAUUCUAAACUGCAUAACUGUUCUAUUUAAUUCAUCAUAGCUCUGUGUCUGUGUAUCACAACAUAUCCAAUUAUUUUUCAUAGGGCAUGAUUGGAAAAUAUCGAGCAUCACUCUCAGCCAGCAGUCGGUUGCCUUAAUGAUUCCACCCAGUCUCCUUGUUAAUACAUAAUGUUUCUCAAACAUAUCUCAAUAUAUGCCAUGUCACCAUUCACAGAUUGGGCCAGAAAAUGUAUAAAAAUAAAACAAUGAGAAUCAAAAAAUUAUCCCCUAUUGUAAGAGAGUGAAACAGGCCACAGUGCAUUUUUAGGGAGAAACGGGUGCAGGAUUAGGAGCAGGGGUGAUCUGAUUCAGUAUUUUAGGGCAUAGUAUACAUGAACAUGUAAUCCCCACUUACCUGUGUGAAAUACAUGAUAAAACGCUAAUAGCCAAGGUUGUCUGUUGUGUAAAAAUGGCUCAUUCAGUGCUUAGCAAUUCUGAGCAGUUGAAAUGGUCCAGAUUACUAACUUUGGCAACAGCAGCCCUUGCAUCAGGACUAUGCUGUUUAUUGAGUUAGACAAGUCGAACAAUCCCUUUGCAUUGAGUCUGAUUGUACCAUAAAUUACAGGAUUUUAGAGGAUGGUAUUUCCUUGAUGUUGUGUAUGAGGAAAGAACAAUUAACUACACUUCAUUUAUUGAUGCCCCCUCGCCAUGUCUGGCCUACAAUGCCUGUCAUGGCCAAUGUUGAUGGAAGUUGUAGUUUAACACUCAUCCUGCAAUUUGGGACAGGAUGAGGGAAUAUGAAGACACAUGGACAGCUUUAAGGAAUGUUGCCAUUCUUAUUGACUGUACCUGUGUUACAAUGUUUUUUGGUUUUCACUAGAACAUUGCUGCUUCCACCAUGGUUAGAGACCGUGCCUGAUGGACUCAGAGAUCCUGCUUUUUGGGGCAUUCAGCGAUCUCUGCACUGCCAUUGGUGCUGGAGAUCCAUUUACGUCCAUACAGCCAGUGCGGUAUAUAGUCCUGUUGCAUGGCUUCAAUUCACAGUAAAUGGGGACGUGCAGAGCUCUGUAACUUGAAAAGAGUCCCCAGCAUGGAAGAGACAGCAAUAAAAUAUAUAUAUGAUCAUUACCUCUAUUUCACUAAAUGGGACUAAUGGUUUUUUUAGAGCUUUAUAUUUAAUAAUUUUUAUACGUUAUACCAACUUUCGUUAGUCUGGUCAUGAAUAGUGCUGCCUUUUAGUAUGUAGCAUUCAUGUAGCGCCAGAUUUAAAUCCAUUAACUAAUCAAAGCAAUACCUUUGGUAUUUCUCUUUGAAUAUUGAGUUGAUUUCCUUCCUUCACUCUUCAUGUGCUACCCAACAGCGUGAAGACCUGUAAUUUGUACAAAAAAACAUGGUGGACUUAGAAACUCUAUUUGCGACUCAUGACCCUUAAGCACCUUCAAAAAGUCAUUGAUUCCACAGCAAUGAGAGGUCCCCCCAUUUUUUAAAAACAUUUUCUGAACUUUUAUAGUACUGUUCAUUGAUCUGACCUCUGACCUGCCUCGCACUGCUCAAUACUGUAUAGAAUACACCACAAACACUGCAUAAUAGUAUGUUUAGCUAUGUAUUAAUGUGUUACUAUCACACUGUUCUGGUCUAUUGUUGUUUCUUUGCAGGCCUAUGCUUUGUAGUCCCUGUGUGAUUUCACUAGUACACUGGACACAAAUCAAGCUGUUUUGGUAUAAUAGUAUUUACACCAAACUCUCUGUCUUUUUAUUUUUUAUUUUGUUUUGUUAUAAUAAAUAUCCCUGUAAUGGAAAAAAAAAAAAAUUGUUAAUUAAACAUUUUAGUUUACGAAUGGAGGCUGCGUGUAUGUUUUUCAGGACUCUGCUAGUUUAUUGCCCUCUGGAAUCAUUGUUGGUGUUGUGUAACAUGCUGGUAUGAUGUACCUCCACCUCCUGCGCCUUAUAUUGUCUCAAGAUCCAUGUGUGGUUUUUCUUCAUAAAAGACCUACAAGUUCUAUGAAAGGAACUGUGGGGAAUUUAAAAAUGAAUUUCAUAUUUUAAACCAAAAUGCCAAAAAUGUUCUUUUUUUUAGCUUCAAUGUUUUGAGUAACACAAAUUCCCUUGC